CAAUAGCGUAUAUUAAAGUUGUUGCAGUUAAAAAGCUCGUAGUUGGAUUUGUGGCGUACGGUGUGUUCCGGGCACUUGUUGUCUGAGUAACCUACUGUUGCCAUCCUUGGGUGGAACCUGUGUGGCAUUAGGUUGUCGUGCAGGGGAUGCCCAUCAUUUACUGUGAAAAAAUUAGAGUGUUCAAAGCAGGCUUAUGCCGUUGAAUAUAUUAGCAUGGAAUAAUGAGAUAGGACUUUUUUGCUAUUUUGUUGGUUUGCGCAAAGAGGUAAUGAUUAAUAGGGACAGUUGGGGGUAUUCGUAUUCCAUUGUCAGAGGUGAAAUUCUUGGAUUUUUGGAAGACGAACUACUGCGAAAGCAUUUACCAAGGAUGUUUUCAUUAA
rnacentral:rRNA from 1 species